GACACUGUGGGCUGGGCCUUUC
rnacentral:siRNA from 1 species